rnacentral:lncRNA from 1 species
GUGUGAACGUGUGUGAGCAAGAGGCGCCCCCCAGUGGCGGGUUCCUGAGGUGCACCUCCUCCCUGACGCUGAGUCAGAUCUGUCAGUCCAACCAGCAGCCGACGCUGACGUGGUGAGCGCUCUUUGUUCCCAGCUAGUAGCUCCACCUGUGCCUCCACUGUCUCACCCCCAUCUCCCCACCAGCUCCCCCAUGGAGUCCGGCUCCAACCCAGUCUCGGUUUUACAGCCCCAGUCCGACACCUGCGUCUGUGAGUAACCCACAGGCUCACUGUGCUCUGCAGGAUUCGGUGUCGCUUCUGCUGCUGCUUAACCAUGUUUCUCUGUGCCUCAGGGGAAGCGUCUCGCUUUUGUGACUGCACCGCUUUUUGUAGCUCCUCAAGUAAGAAAAUGCGACGUGUUACUGUAUGUGUCUACGUCAGGUUAUGCUGGCCUGCCAUCAAAAGGCGUGUCUGUAUGUGUAGAAACAAAAGUGAUAUUAAAGCAUUAAAGUCUCGGAGCAGAAGGUCGUAAAUGUUUUUUGAAGGUUUGGAUCUGAGGCCAGAGCUCUGCCCUGAGCUUCCUUUGUCAUGCUUUAUGUCCUUUCUUACUGUGUUUUUCUUUUCAGGCCAGUUUUUUGCUACGGAAAUUAUUAUCACAGACUCUUCUAUUACCAUGAGUGUCCUUCAGAACGUGUUGUCAGAACUUCGAGUCCUUCACGCAUGUGAGCCGGGGUCAAACUGUGCAGAUUAUGUAGAGAUUGUGGCGCGCUACCAGGUAAAGCUCACUGCAUCACUGCAAGUAAACGUUCCCCAUCCGUUCACGCUGGCGAUCACGUCUCAUAACAAAUCUCUUUACCCAGGCUGCACAUGUGGAAUGUCCGGGCGCCCAACAGAGGUACCUCCUAGCAUCCAUGUGCUCCAGUCGCUCCUGUUGUGCACAUCUAACAUUGAGGUGAAUGCUGGUAUGGUUCCAGGCUGUACAGCUGCAUGCUGA